GGGGAUGCAAUGGUCUCGACGGGGAUUUUGCAGCCGAAGGGGCGAGUAGUGGCGAGAACCACUUUAAAAGCUCAAACUUUAAAUAUAAACGCUAACGAUAAUUUAGCUUACGCUGCCUAAUUAGGCGGCCAUCCUUCCACAGAGGACCGCGGCUGUGAGUAAGGGUGUCAUCAAAGCGGUGAACGUGAAUGUGUGAUGCUCUGUAGCACAUCACGGACUUCAGAGCUACUUUGAAUAAAAGAUUGUUUGUGAACUUUUAUUUGAGGGAAUUUUAAUCACAAACUGCACUCGGAGUACCUUUUGUGAAUAGAUUUUCGGACAGGAGUUCGAUUCUCCUCAUCUCCACCA
rnacentral:tmRNA from 1 species